rnacentral:tRNA from 1 species
GCAUCGGUAGUGCAAUGGAUUAGCGCGGUAGACCGUAUAUCUUUAAUUGUGGGUUCGAGUCUUGCCUGAGGUU